ACGUGGGGAGGAGUUUUAUGUUGCUGCGUCCUCUCCUCUGCCUCCCUCGGGAAGUAAAAAGCCUUCGAAGCGCUGGGCUGCUGGUGUUACGCUCUCCGCGUGGAGGAAUCUGAGGCCAAGGCCAUGCUGCUUCUCGUUCUUCUGAUCCAAUGAGAAUGAUCCCACCUGAUCCCACUCGGAGGAAGUCAAGAAGCUACAGAGCUUUAGGAGCAAAGGUGGAAGGGGAAGGGGUACUGAUACUCCUGGUGCGAGAAAGGACUGAAUAAGGAAAACACACCUUCUGGAGAUCAAUAUUCUGCUGUUCAGCCGACGGCAGAGACAGAGCUUCAUUUUCCUCAUCAACAGCAACCCAACCUAGUAUUCGGUCGAGGGAGGAAUCCGUCUGGCGCUUCGGAAAACCCUGGCUGACCUCCAAGGGACGGCUUUAAACCCUUUCGCAGAGAAUUAUCGACUAACCCCAGAGGCUACGCUUCCAUAUUCGGUGAUCCCGAGGGGUAUCGCUGUUCAUUUCACCCAACUCCACCUGCCCGAUCUGAAGAUGCUUCGGAAUUCACUUCGUCCCCGCCCCACGUCAUCUCCUGGGAGCGCCAUCGCUCCACCGCUUGCUCCGAGACUUGAGGCCAGAAAGAGUAGGUGUAGGAGAGUGGACGGAGGCCAGCUAGAGGACCGUCCCCCGCUGCCAAGUUUGGAAUGAAUUACCGUUCACUCGA